rnacentral:rRNA from 1 species
UACGUAGGGGGCUAGCGUUGUCCGGAAUCAUUGGGCGUAAAGCGCGUGUAGGCGGUCCGGUAAGUCCGCUGUGAAAGUCGGGGGCUCAACCCUCGAAUGCCGGUGGAUACUGUCGGGCUAGAGUGCGGAAGAGGCGAGUGGAAUUCCUGGUGUAGCGGUGAAAUGCGCAGAGUAUCAGGAGGAACACCAAUUGCGAAGGCAGCUCGCUGGGACGUUACUGACGCUGAGACGCGAAAGCGUGGGGAGCAAACAGG